rnacentral:rRNA from 1 species
AGAGUUUGAUCAUGGCUCAGAUUGAACGCUGGCGGCAGGCCUAACACAUGCAAGUCGAGCGGAUGAAGGGAGCUUGCUCCUGGAUUCAGCGGCGGACGGGUGAGUAAUGCCUAGGAAUCUGCCUGGUAGUGGGGGAUAACGUCCGGAAACGGGCGCUAAUACCGCAUACGUCCUGAGGGAGAAAGUGGGGGAUCUUCGGACCUCACGCUAUCAGAUGAGCCUAGGUCGGAUUAGCUAGUUGGUGGGGUAAAGGCCUACCAAGGCGACGAUCCGUAACUGGUCUGAGAGGAUGAUCAGUCACACUGGAACUGAGACACGGUCCAGACUCCUACGGGAGGCAGCAGUGGGGAAUAUUGGACAAUGGGCGAAAGCCUGAUCCAGCCAUGCCGCGUGUGUGAAGAAGGUCUUCGGAUUGUAAAGCACUUUAAGUUGGGAGGAAGGGCAGUAAGUUAAUACCUUGCUGUUUUGACGUUACCAACAGAAUAAGCACCGGCUAACUUCGUGCCAGCAGCCGCGGUAAUACGAAGGGUGCAAGCGUUAAUCGGAAUUACUGGGCGUAAAGCGCGCGUAGGUGGUUCAGCAAGUUGGAUGUGAAAUCCCCGGGCUCAACCUGGGAACUGCAUCCAAAACUACUGAGCUAGAGUACGGUAGAGGGUGGUGGAAUUUCCUGUGUAGCGGUGAAAUGCGUAGAUAUAGGAAGGAACACCAGUGGCGAAGGCGACCACCUGGACUGAUACUGACACUGAGGUGCGAAAGCGUGGGGAGCAAACAGGAUUAGAUACCCUGGUAGUCCACGCCGUAAACGAUGUCGACUAGCCGUUGGGAUCCUUGAGAUCUUAGUGGCGCAGCUAACGCGAUAAGUCGACCGCCUGGGGAGUACGGCCGCAAGGUUAAAACUCAAAUGAAUUGACGGGGGCCCGCACAAGCGGUGGAGCAUGUGGUUUAAUUCGAAACAACGCGAAGAACCUUACCUGGCCUUGACAUGCUGAGAACUUUCCAGAGAUGGAUUGGUGCCUUCGGGAACUCAGACACAGGUGCUGCAUGGCUGUCGUCAGCUCGUGUCGUGAGAUGUUGGGUUAAGUCCCGUAACGAGCGCAACCCUUGUCCUUAGUUACCAGCACCUCGGGUGGGCACUCUAAGGAGACUGCCGGUGACAAACCGGAGGAAGGUGGGGAUGACGUCGAGUCAUCAUGGCCCUUACGGCCAGGGCUACACACGUGCUACAAUGGUCGGUACAAAGGGUUGCCAAGCCGCGAGGUGGAGCUAAUCCCAUAAAACCGAUCGUAGUCCGGAUCGCAGUCUGCAACUCGACUGCGUGAAGUCGGAAUCGCUAGUAAUCGUGAAUCAGAAUGUCACGGUGAAUACGUUCCCGGGCCUUGUACACACCGCCCGUCACACCAUGGGAGUGGGUUGCUCCAGAAGUAGCUAGUCUAACCGCAAGGGGGACGGUUACCACGGAGUGAUUCAUGACUGGGGUGAAGUCGUAACAAGGUA